CCUACGGUCGGCAGCAGUGGGGAAUAUUGGACAAUGGGCGAAAGCCUGAUCCAGCCAUGCCGCGUGUGUGAAGAAGGUCUUCGGAUUGUAAAGCACUUUAAGUUGGGAGGAAGGGUUGUAGAUUAAUACUCUGCAAUUUUGACGUUACCGACAGAAUAAGCACCGGCUAACUCUGUGCCAGCAGCCGCGGUAAUACAGAGGGUGCAAGCGUUAAUCGGAAUUACUGGGCGUAAAGCGCGCGUAGGUGGUUUGUUAAGUUGGAUGUGAAAUCCCCGGGCUCAACCUGGGAACUGCAUCCAAAACUGGCAAGCUAGAGUAUGGUAGAGGUUGGUGGAAUUUCCUGUGUAGCGGUGAAAUGCGUAGAUAUAGGAAGGAACACCAGUGGCGAAGGCGACCACCUGGACUAAUACUGACACUGAGGUGCGAAAGCGUGGGGAGCAAACA
rnacentral:rRNA from 1 species